AGCAGCCGCGGUAAUUCCAGCUCCAAUAGCGUAUAUUAAAGUUGUUGCAGUUAAAAAGCUCGUAGUUGAAUUUCGGGGUUAGUAGGUUGGUCAUGCCUCUGGUAUGUACUGGUCUCACUGAUUCCUCCUUCCUGAUGAGCCGUAAUGCCAUUAAUUUGGUGUUGCGGGGAAUUUGGACUGUUACUUUGAAAAAAUUAGAGUGUUUAAAGCAAGCUAACGCUUGAAUACAUUAGCAUGGAAUAAUGAAAUAGGACGUUCGAUCCUAUUUUGUUGGUUUCUAGGAUUGACGUAAUGAUUAAUAGGGAUAGCUGGGGGCAUUAGUAUUCAAUUGUCAGAGGUGAAAUUCUUGGAUUUAUUGAAGACUAACUACUGCGAAAGCAUUUGCCAAGGAUGUUUUCAUUAAUCAAGAACGAAAGUUAGGGGAUCGAAGACGAUCAGAUACCGUCGUAG
rnacentral:rRNA from 1 species